UUUUGCUAUGAAGCCGCAGCCAUCUAGUCACUCGCCAGAGAAGGAUGAGAAACUGCACCCCAGCGAGAGGGACAGCCCCACAUCUGCAACCAAAUCCAUCGGUCACCGAAUUCAGUAAUCUCCGUCUCUUUGUGCAUUGUGUAUGUACGGUACUCCCAAUUCUUAUAUUUAAUCCGGUGUGUCUCCCACAAUCUUUGUGUCUGUCUGCACGCACUGUGUCUGUUAUGCCAGUUACUCUAACUAGUUUAUUUCUUUUUGUGUGUGUCACAGCUCUGACAAGCAUGUUCUUCUAUGGGACACGAAGUACAUGAAGAGGAAUGAAGAAGCCCAUGUCUGAUGCUCGUCUCCAGGGUGGAGUAUUGAAUUUAUAACUAAUGAAGUGGCAUCUGACACAUGACGAGCUGCUCCUGUUUGCACAGCAACUUCAACAUUGUGUACUGUGAUCACGGCAUAGUUCAGAGGUAGGUAACCUUGGGCAGUCCAGAUGCUGUGAAUAACAUCGACCAUAAUGCUGGCAAACCAUUAUGGGAGGUGUAGUCCAAAACAUCUGGAAUACCGAAUGCGUAUGAAUGCAAAGUAUGGUGUGUGUGAAUGGUCAGUAACAAGGGUUGAAGCCUUGACGUGGCGUUACUGCUCACAUGUGUAUUCAUGUGCCAAUUCAACCAAUGUUAGUCACUGUAAUACUUAUAAGGUAACCAAAAGUACUGUGAUUGUGGAGAAUGAAACUCCUUAUCCUAUGAAAUCUCCUAUACACUGCUGACACUGUGACCGUAUCUCCUAAACACUGCUCAUACUGUGACCGUAUCUCCUAAACACUGCUCACACUUUGACCCUAUCGCCUAUACACUGCUUACACUCUGACCCUAUCGCCUAAACACUGCUUACACUGUAAGCACAGACAUGCUUUUAAUCAAAAUUGAAAGCGCUAGAUCAUUCCUUCUGUUCUACGCCUCCAAUCUUCAACAUUGAAAUUGUCAUUUCUAAUAAUAUAAAAUAAGUAAUAUGCUUUCUGGUUACGAUUUGGUGGGUUGUAAAUAUUUUUUUUAUUCCUACAGUUCCAGAGGGAAGGAGCAAACCGCUUUGAGGAGUCCCUGCAUAAGAGACUAUUGGAUACUGAAGGGCUGUACUGCAGUGUCGGCUCUAGACUUGGCGAGGCCUUAGGCGAAACUCAUACAUGAGACCCCACGGAGAACACCAUUAUUGAAGAAAAA